UACGGAAGGCAGCAGUGGGGAAUAUUGCACAAUGGGCGAAAGCCUGAUGCAGCUAUGCCGCGUGUAUGAAGAAGGCCUUAGGGUUGUAAAGUACUUUCAUCGGGGAGGAAAAAACAAAACUAAUAAUUUUAUUUCUUGACGUUACCCGAAAAAGAAGCACCGGCUAACUCCGUGCCAGCAGCCGCGGUAAUACGGAGGGUGCUAGCGUUAAUCAGAAUUACUGGGCGUAAAGAGCACGUAGGUGGUUUUUUUAAGUCAGAUGUGAAAUCCCUGGGCUUAACCUAGGAACUGCAUUUUGAAACUGAAAUACUAGAGUAUCGUAGAGGGAGGUAGAAUUCUAGGUGUAGCGGUGAAAUGCGUAGAUAUCUGGAGGAAUACCUGUGGCGAAAGCGGCCUCCUAAACGAAUACUGACACUGAGGUGCGAAAGCGUGGGGAGCGAAACAGGGAU
rnacentral:rRNA from 1 species